rnacentral:rRNA from 1 species
UACGGAGGGUGCAAGCGUUAAUCGGAAUUACUGGGCGUAAAGCGCGCGUAGGUGGUUAGGUAAGCGAGAUGUGAAAGCCCCGGGCUUAACCUGGGAACGGCAUUUCGAACUGUCUGGCUAGAGUGUGGUAGAGGGUAGUGGAAUUUCCUGUGUAGCGGUGAAAUGCGUAGAUAUAGGAAGGAACACCAGUGGCGAAGGCGGCUACCUGGACCAACACUGACACUGAGGUGCGAAAGCGUGGGGAGCAAACAGG